CAGCCGCCACGGGAAUACGUAGGGUGCAAGCGUUGUUCGGAAUUAUUGGGCGUAAAGGGUGCGUAGGCGGCUUGACAAGUCUUGUGUGAAAUCUAUGGGCUCAACCCAUAGUCUGCACGGGAAACUGUCGGGCUUGAGAAUGGGAGAGGUGAGUGGAAUUUCCGGUGUAGCGGUGAAAUGCGUAGAUAUCGGAAGGAACACCUGUGGCGAAAGCGGCUCACUGGACAUUUACUGACGCUGAUGCACGAAAGCUAGGGGAGCAAACAGGAUUAGAUACCCGCGUAGUCCCUGUCUCUUAUAC
rnacentral:rRNA from 1 species